rnacentral:rRNA from 1 species
UGAGGAAUAUUGGGUCAAUGGGCGAGAGCCUGAACCAGCCAAGUAGCGUGCAGGAUGACGGCCCUACGGGUUGUAAACUGCUUUUGCGGGAGAAUAAAGGUGGCCACGCGUGGCCAUUUGCAGGUAUCCCGUGAAUAAGGACCGGCUAAUUCCGUGCCAGCAGCCGCGGUAAUACGGAAGGUCCGGGCGUUAUCCGGAUUUAUUGGGUUUAAAGGGAGCGCAGGCGGAGGAUCAAGCCAGCCGUCAAAUAGCGGUGCUCAACACCGUCCAGCGGUUGGAACUGGUUCCCUUGAUUGCGGGAGAAGAAGGCGGAACUCGUGGUGUAGCGGUGAAAUGCAUAGAUAUCACGAAGAACUCCGAUUGCGAAGGCAGCCUUCCGGCCCGCCAAUGA